UGGGGGAUAUUGCACAAUGGGCGAAAGCCUGAUGCAGCGACGCCGCGUGAGGGAAGACGGUCUUCGGAUUGUAAACCUCUGUCUUUGGGGGAAGAAGAAGGACGGUACCCAAAGAGGAAGCUCCGGCUAACUACGUGCCAGCAGCCGCGGUAAUACGUAGGGAGCGAGCGUUGUCCGGAAUUACUGGGUGUAAAGGGAGCGUAGGCGGGCUUGCAAGCUGAAUGUCCAAUCCACCGGCUCAACCGGUGUCCGCGUUCAAAACUGCAGGUCUUGAGUGAAGUAGAGGCAGGUGGAAUUCCUAGUGUAGCGGUGAAAUGCGUAGAUAUUAGGAGGAACACCAGUGGCGAAGGCGGCCUGCUGGGCUUUAACUGACGCUGAGGCUCGAAAGCGUGGGGAGCAAACAGGAUUAGAUACCC
rnacentral:rRNA from 1 species